rnacentral:lncRNA from 1 species
AAUGAGUGAUGGAGUUGGAGCUAUGUUUCUAAUGAAGAGAAAGGUUCCGAUGAAGAGGAAUGUUACAAUGCUGAAAGGAAUUCCUAUCUUUUGUGUAUUCAGGGCUUAAAUUUUAUGUAAUUAAUGCUUAAUGCAAAUAUUUUUUUUUUGUAUAUCUACGCUAUUAAGUAGCCAACUAUACUAUAGCACUGCCUUGUACGUGUAU